rnacentral:rRNA from 1 species
CCUACGGGAGGCUGCAGUAGGGAAUAUUGCUCAAUGGGGGAAACCCUGAAGCAGCAACGCCGCGUGGAGGAUGAAGGUUUUCGGAUUGUAAACUCCUUUUGUUAGAGAAGAUAAUGACGGUAUCUAACGAAUAAGCACCGGCUAAAUCCGUGCCAGCAGCCGCGGUUAUACGGAGGGUGCAAGCGUUACUCGGAAUCACUGGGCGUAAAGAGCGCGUAGGCGGGAUAGCAAGUCAGAUGUGAAAUCCUAGGGCUUAAACAGAGAUCUGCAUUUGAAACUGUUAGUCUAGAGUAUGGGAGAGGUAGGUGGAAUUCGUGGUGUAGGGGUGAAAUCCGUAGAGAUCAAGAGGAAUACUCAUUGCGAAGGCGACCUGCUGGAGCAUAACUGACGCUGAGGCGCGAAGGCGUGGGGAGCAAACAGGAUUAGAUACCCCUGUAGUC